rnacentral:rRNA from 1 species
UACAGAGGGGGCAAGCGUUGUUCGGAAUUACUGGGCGUAAAGGGCGCGUAGGCGGCUGCCUAAGCCAGACGUGAAAUCCCUCGGCUCAACCGGGGAACUGCGUCUGAUACUGGGUGGCUUGAAUUCGGGAGAGGGAUGCGGAAUUCCAGGUGUAGCGGUGAAAUGCGUAGAUAUCUGGAGGAACACCGAUGGCGAAGGCAGCCCCCUGGGAUGUGACUGACGCUCAUGUACGAAAGCGUGGGGAGCAAACAGG